rnacentral:lncRNA from 1 species
UCGGGUUGGGAGAUCCCGAGCCUGAGGCGAGCGUGGGCGGCACACACCUUCCCUUCCACUUUCAUCACCCCAGGGGUCAGGGAUCCGUCAAGGGCCAACGGAUGUUUCCUCCUUCCUCUGUAGCAGUCCCAGAGUCCUGACAUUGCCUAGCCAGAGUUUCUCGAGUCUGCCAGAGCAGCCGCUCCUCUAUCCAGGGCACUCAGAUUCCCAAGGAAACCCCCCUGAGGAGUUAGCAACCACCUACUAGUAGGUUUCGGUCCCAGGAUACUAAAGGUCAGGUAAAAAUGGGGAAAUGGGGGGAGGGUGUCUCUGAAAAGUACGUUGAUAAAACACCUAUUGUUGACUGAGUGUAUAUUACAUUGGAUUAAUGGAAUACGGCCUACUUAAACCUGGCUAUGGUUCCACCAUUAGUGGCUGUUGGCAAGCUGCCUCUGAAAAAUGAGGAUAAUAAAGGUUGAUUACUGCUCAGGGUUGCUCUGAGGUUUAAAUGCUAUAAUGCAUGUGAAAUGCUUAGUAUGGUACCUGAAAGUACUCAGUGUUAGAUAUUAUUACAUGGACAAAUGAAGUAAAAAAUAUGACCCGAAAAGACUUCAGGUCAACUUUCCUGAAUUGUGCAGAAAUAGGCAUCAAUCGCUUUUACUAACCAGGUUUACAGCUCUAUAUCCUGUCUCCACUUCUUCCAUUGUACUCAAUCAACAGAUUCACUGAAACUCGAACUGAGGGGACACAGUGGUGAGGGAAACAAACUGUCUGGCUUCUUGGGGCUGACAGUCUAGUGGGAAAAAGAGGGACAAAUAUUUCAUCACAUUUUCAGGGAAGCAUGCUAUAAAGGUUAUGAACAAAAUUUUGGAAAAGCAGAUACCAGGAUAGCUUUGAAAAAACUGGUCAGGAAAGGCCCAUCCGAGGGAUAAGGAGCCAAUAAUGAAAGAAAUGCCCUGGGGAAUUAUUUAAGAUAGAGGAAAUGGCUGUGCAAAGGACCUGUGGUAGGAAAGAACUUGGCUGUUGGAAUUGAGGGGAGUCCAUGGUGCAAGGAGGAGCCUGUCCUGAGAUUGGAGAGAUUGCUUCAGAGCUGCUGUCUCCUGGGCUUGGACAACGUGUCAGCAUCCGUCUUUGUCAUCACAAUCCCGGUGUUGCCCUGGGUGCUGGGUGCCUUGCAGAGCCAGCAGGCCAGCCCCAGGCAUGCCCUCUGGGUAUUUUGGCAGAAGACUGAAGGGGAACUAGAGAGACUGUUCAGAAUUAGACAAUAAAGAUAAAAGAGGGGCAGAAUCAGGCAAAGUGUUUUCAUUGGAAUCUUCCACUUUUAUGCUGAGAAGCAGGCAAGGCAAAAACUCUGGAUUCAGUUUGCAGGUGAGGAAACAGAGACCCAGAGAAAAGACACUAAUUGCCGGAAAACAUUCAGUGAUCAUGUGACAUUUGUCCUGGUGUUGACCUAUUCACAGAAGCAGGUAACAAAAUUCUGUUCUCUAGAAAGCAACAAUUGUAAUCUCUGUCACCAGAGAAUCCCAUACAAGGCCCCCGCCCCUUGACUAAGAAGAAAUGUUUUUGUCCUGCUUUCUCAUCCUUUUUCCAGCUGAGUCUGUAAAUACCUGCUACUCAGACACUCAGAAUAUUUCAGUGGCUCCAGAUUUUAAUCUGACCUUUGCACAGCCAUUUGCCUAUACUGUCAUGCCUGUAAUUAUAUAACUGCUUUAUUUUAAUGCCUGUAAAUAGGAGCUCAGUCAUCUAAGAAAAGUUCAGGAAAAGCAGAACCAUAGAACUAAAACUCAGUAAAACCAUUUCCCAUCUUAGUUCCCUAGCAUCCAUGAGGAUUCAGGUUCGAUCCCUGGUCUUGCUCAGUGGGUUGAGUAUGUGGCCUUGCCGUGAGCUGUGGUGUAGGUCGAAGAUGCAGCUUGGUUCCCGAGUUGCUGUGGCUGUGGUGUAGGUCGGCAGCCACAGCUCCGAUUUGACCCCUAGCCUGGGAACCUCCAUACGCUGUGAGUGUGGCCCUAAAAAAAAAUACAAAAAAAAAAAAAAAAAAUUCUCAAGUUCUUGUUGUGACUUCGAGGGUUAAGACCUGAUGUAGUGUCUGUGGGGAUGUGAGUUUGAUCCCUGGCUUUGCCAGUGGGCUAAGAAUCCAGCGCUGUGGUGCAGGUCAGAUCUGGUGUUGCCAUGGCUGUGCAUGAUUCGACCCCCAUCCUGGAAACUUCCAUAUGCCACAGGUCCAUCCAGCUGUAAAAAGAAAAAGAAAAAAAAAAUUUCUCUACAGCUUGAUUGAGGUAAAAUUGAUGUAUGAUAAAGUGCACUAUUUAAAGUGUACAGUUUAAUGAAUUUUAAUGUGUGUAUAUGCCUAUGAAACCACUACAGUCAAGAUCAGAGAUGGCUUUUCCAUCUCAGAGUCUAAAAGGGUGUGUGCUCCCAGUUCAAAACUAACUGGUAACAAAGUGAGACCUGGAGUUCCCGUCAUGGCUCAGCAGAAAUGAAUCUGACUAGCAUCCAUGAGGCCACAGGUUCAAUUCCUGGCCUCGUUCAGUGGAUUAAGUAUCCGGUGUUGCCGUGAGCUGUGGUGUAGGUUGCAGAUGUGGCUUAGAUCUGGUGUUGCUGUGGCUGUGGCGUAGGCUGGCAGCUGUAGCUUCAAUUUGACCCCUAGCCUGGGAACCUCCAUAUGGCACAGGUGUGGCCCUAAAAGACUAAAAAAAAAGAAAGUGUGCCUUCCUCUUCUGAGUAACAAUACUGGCCCCUGCAGGGCCAUCUUUAUUUCAAUCUCUGUUAUCAUUGAAGAGGCAGCUCUCCAUUUGACCUCUAUGUGGCUUUUCCUUCUUGCCCACAGUUACAACAUUCUCUUUUCAGUUUCAGGUCCCUUUUUCUGCUAAAUCAUCCACUUCUUAUCUACAAGCCCCCUUUCAAUCUUAAAAAUGAACAAAAGCAAAACAAAAAAGUCAAUACUUCUUCCUGCCUCCUCCUCAUUCCUCCCUUCAGUCACUCAUGGCUCCCUCUCCUGCCCCCUAGUUAGUUCAUGGCCACACUUCCAGAAAUAGUUGCUCAUAUUCACUCUCUCCACAUCCUCACUUCCUCCUCUCCCUCAAAGCCACCCCUCCCCCUUGCUGCACAGAUACCUUUCUUGGCCAGGUCACUCACUAACCUCCCUGUUGUUGCUACAUCCCAUGAACCCAUCUCAGUCCUUAUCAUACUCUGACACCAUUGACCACUGUGUCCUUUGGUUGGUUGUUUUUACAAAAGUAACAGAUGCGCUUUUUUUUUUUUUUUAAGAGUCAAAUACUGAAUAAAAACAUUAAGACUCUCCCCCUGCCGCCCUACUGCAGACAGAGCCACUGUCACAAGAACCCUCAGCUACUAGACAGCCACCCCAGGUAGCUGCCCAAAGCAUAGCAUAGCCUCAGGAAGUCCCAGAAAUUAGUCCCUGUAGACUUCUAACUUGGGAAAAAUCUCUUACUUGCCCUAUCAUAAACACCAGAGAAGCUAAGAAAUGUUUAUAAACGAACACAAAAAGAAAAAGAGAAGAAAGUGCAUAUAGUAACUCUCCAACUCUGGUUUCAAUAUGUCUUAAAGGUGACAUGGUGGCAGGGUCUGCAUGACUCAUCCCUGUCGGUCUCUCCAGGCAGGAAGCCUUUCUGGCCCUGGUUUUCCUGAUAGCAGCCCUUUGUUUUCCCCUUAUCCUUGGGAGAAUGAUAGGAAUGAAGAAUAUAGGGCCCCCGGGACCUUGUGAGGCUGACCUAGCAGCCAUCAAGGUUUAUAGUCUUGUAGACAAAUACACAAAAAUGGGUUUUUUAUGACCAGUGUUUUUUACCCAAGAUAAAGUACAAAGCAGGACAUAAGAAUCACCCACCCAAAUCUCACCAACCAGAAUAGCACCAUAACAGUUUUGGUGAGCAUAUUUAAACGUGUCUCUAUUCUGUGUAUACACUUAGAGGUAUAUAUACAGUUUCACAUACAUGGGAUCAUGAUUUACAAGUUAUUCUGUAACUACUGUUUUCACUCGGAACAUGCAAUGGAUAGCUUUCCAGGUCAAUAACUAUAGACUAACACUGUGAUUGCUACUGCUCGCCUGCCAUUCAGAAUAUUUAUGAGCCAUGAUUUACUCACCCAGCCUCUUAUUGUUGGGCAGUUAGGUGGUUCGCAUUUUUUGAUAUCAUAUACUACACAGUGAUAAACAUUCUGUGUUCAGCUUUUAGCUUUUGUACAAUUUUCUCCUCAGGCUAAUUUGUAGAAGUGGACUAGCUCAAUACAAUGGUGUGUACAUUUCACAUUUUGACACAGUUAGGCUAACUUCCUUCCAGAAAUGUUAUGCCAAUUUAUUUUCCCACCAACACUGAAUUUAAAAGCAUCUUUUCCCCGCGUGCGGCGUGUCUCGCCGCGCGUCCGGACCGGGGUCCGGUGCGGAGAGCCUUUUGUCCUGGGAAACGGGGCGCUGCGGGAAAGCAAGGCCGCCCCCUCGGCCGCCCGUCACGCACCGCACAUUCGUGGGGAACCUGGUGCUAAACCGUUCGCAGACGACCUGCUUCUGGGUCGGGGUUUCCUACAUAGCAGAGCAGCUCCCUCGCUACGAUCUAUUGAAAGUCAGCUCUCGACACAAGGGUUUGU